GGAGGGUAAGCUUAGUGGUAGAGUGUGUGCUUAGCAUGCAUGAGGUCCUGGGUUCAAUCCCCAGUAUCUCCA
rnacentral:tRNA from 1 species